GUGGCAUCAAUUAAGUCACUCCUUGGUUACCUAGCAACAACUUGUUGAGUAACUGGCACAGCAGCAGUUUAUGGUUUCACCACUGAGCCUCAUAACUGCUAAAAAAUAAACAGCAGCAGCUUGAAAACUGUGGAUAAAACAGAAAAGGUCGUGCCACCAGUCUGCCAGAAUUUCAGAUAUUUGAAACAAAAAGCUAAUCAAUAAUUAUCAGUAUCUUAUAUGAAAAACCUAUAUUGUAAUGCAUUUUUCAGCCAUUUCAUUGAUCCCUACUACACCAGAUUAACUUUUAGUUUCAAGGAAGCCAAGGGACAGAAUCUGUCGGUCUGCAUGCAUCCUUUAGUUCUGGAGCCGAGUUUGAACAUCUUCACAGUCACAGCUUUCUGGACAAGACAUCUCUGUGGCAUAUUUUGGCAAAGCUCAGACAGAAAACUCACCAGCUGCUCAAAAAGACAAGGCUAAACUAUUUGAACAGCCGUCUUACAGGAUAUCUUGGGACUCCAGGUUGAAGCCAGAUAGAGAUUGAGCUGGAAAAAAAUGUAAUAAAACAAGUUCACAGUUUCAA